UUUCUAGAAUUUUCUCCCUCUUCUCCCUUAUCUCAAAACCUAUCCAAUAACGUCCCAACACUCUUUGAACUUCAUAAAUCUCUCCAAGGUUAAGGUUGAGAUCCUAUGGGGCAGCAUAUACAUGUUCUGUACAGAUAAAUGCUAAAGGGUCGGACGAUGCUUGAUGAGUCCUCAUUCUACCGAGGAUAAGACUUUUAUUUAUGAUUACUAUUGUCUUCACUUUCUUCUAUUGUUAGGGUAAUCUAAGAGCUUGUUGUAAGCCCUCGUCAAGGGUUAAACUAAAGGCAUGUCUAGAUGAUAAUAUGGUAUAGUCCAUGCAAGCAUUGAUUGGUUGAUUUUAUCCCUAGUCCCAUACCCUUUGAGAUUAUUAC